GUCAGUGUGGUCUAGUGAUUUGAAUACUGGACUAUGACUUUGGAGACCAGGGAUCGAUUCCUGGCUUGGCCA